UACGGGGGGGGCAAGCGUUGUUCGGAAUCACUGGGCGUAAAGGGCGCGUAGGCGGCCAUUCAAGUCAGGGGUGAAAGCCUGUGGCUCAACCACAGAAUUGCCUUUGGCACUGUUUGGCUAGAGACCGGAAGAGGUAAGUGGAACUGCGAGUGUAGAGGUGAAAUUCGUAGAUAUUCGCAAGAACACCAGUGGCGAAGGCGGCUUACUGGUCCGGUUCUGACGCUGAGGCGCGAAAGCGUGGGGAGCAAACAGG
rnacentral:rRNA from 1 species